AGACCCGAAACCCGGUGAUCUAGCCAUGGGCAGGUUGAAGGUUGGGUAACACUAACUGGAGGACCGAACCGACUAAUGUUGAAAAAUUAGCGGAUGACCUGUGGCUGGGGGUGAAAGGCCAAUCAAACCGGGAGAUAGCUGGUUCUCCCCGAAAGCUAUUUAGGUAGCGCCUCGUGAAUUCAUCUCCGGGGGUAGAGCACUGUUUCGGCUAGGGGGCCAUCCCGGCUUACCAACCCGAUGCAAACUGCGAAUACCGGAGAAUGUUAUCACGGGAGACACACGGCGGGUGCUAACGUCCGUCGUGAAGAGGGAAACAACCCAGACCGCCAGCUAAGGUCCCAAAGUCAUGGUUAAGUGGGAAACGAUGUGGGAAGGCCCAGACAGCCAGGAUGUUGGCUUAGAAGCAGCCAUCAUUUAAAGAAAGCGUAAUAGCUCACUGGUCGAGUCGGCCUGCGCGGAAGAUGUAACGGGGCUAAACCAUGCACCGAAGCUGCGGCAGCGACACUGUGUGUUGUUGGGUAGGGGAGCGUUCUGUAAGCCUGUGAAGGUGGCCUGUGAGGGUUGCUGGAGGUAUCAGAAGUGCGAAUGCUGACAUAAGUAACGAUAAAGCGGGUGAAAAGCCCGCUCGCCGGAAGACCAAGGGUUCCUGUCCAACGUUAAUCGGGGCAGGGUGAGUCGACCCCUAAGGCGAGGCCGAAAGGCGUAGUCGAUGGGAAACGGGUUAAUAUUCCCGUACUUGGUGUUACUGCGAAGGGGGGACGGAGAAGGCUAUGUUGGCCGGGCGACGGUUGUCCCGGUUUAAGCGUGUAGGUGUGUGUUCCAGGUAAAUCCGGUUCACUUUAACACUGAGGCGUGAUGACGAGGCACUACGGUGCUGAAGCAACAAAUGCCCUGCUUCCAGGAAAAGCCUCUAAGCAUCAGGUAACAUCAAAUCGUACCCCAAACCGACACAGGUGGUCAGGUAGAGAAUACCAAGGCGCUUGAGAGAACUCGGGUGAAGGAACUAGGCAAAAUGGUGCCGUAACUUCGGGAGAAGGCACGCUGACACGUAGGUGAAGUGAUUUACUCACGGAGCUGAAGUCAGUCGAAGAUACCAGCUGGCUGCAACUGUUUAUUAAAAACACAGCACUGUGCAAACACGAAAGUGGACGUAUACGGUGUGACGCCUGCCCGGUGCCGGAAGGUUAAUUGAUGGGGUCAGCGCAAGCGAAGCUCCUGAUCGAAGCCCCGGUAAACGGCGGCCGUAACUAUAACGGUCCUAAGGUAGCGAAAUUCCUUGUCGGGUAAGUUCCGACCUGCACGAAUGGCGUAAUGAUGGCCAGGCUGUCUCCACCCGAGACUCAGUGAAAUUGAACUCGCUGUGAAGAUGCAGUGUACCCGCGGCAAGACGGAAAGACCCCGUGAACCUUUACUAUAGCUUGACACUGAACAUUGAGCCUUGAUGUGUAGGAUAGGUGGGAGGCUUUGAAGUGUGGACGCCAGUCUGCAUGGAGCCGACCUUGAAAUACCACCCUUUAAUGUUUGAUGUUCUAACGUGGACCCGUAAUCCGGGUUGCGGACAGUGUCUGGUGGGUAGUUUGACUGGGGCGGUCUCCUCCUAAAGAGUAACGGAGGAGCACGAAGGUUGGCUAAUCCUGGUCGGACAUCAGGAGGUUAGUGCAAUGGCAUAAGCCAGCUUGACUGCGAGCGUGACGGCGCGAGCAGGUGCGAAAGCAGGUCAUAGUGAUCCGGUGGUUCUGAAUGGAAGGGCCAUCGCUCAACGGAUAAAAGGUACUCCGGGGAUAACAGGCUGAUACCGCCCAAGAGUUCAUAUCGACGGCGGUGUUUGGCACCUCGAUGUCGGCUCAUCACAUCCUGGGGCUGAAGUAGGUCCCAAGGGUAUGGCUGUUCGCCAUUUAAAGUGGUACGCGAGCUGGGUUUAGAACGUCGUGAGACAGUUCGGUCCCUAUCUGCCGUGGGCGCUGGAGAACUGAGGGGGGCUGCUCCUAGUACGAGAGGACCGGAGUGGACGCAUCACUGGUGUUCGGGUUGUCAUGCCAAUGGCACUGCCCGGUAGCUAAAUGCGGAAGAGAUAAGUGCUGAAAGCAUCUAAGCACGAAACUUGCCCCGA
rnacentral:rRNA from 1 species